ACGCUCGACACCUACGGGAGGCAGCAGUGGGGAAUAUUGCACAAUGGGGGAAACCCUGAUGCAGCGACGCCGCGUGAAGGAAGAAGUAUUUCGGUAUGUAAACUUCUAUCAGCAGGGAAGAAAAUGACGGUACCUGAGUAAGAAGCACCGGCUAAAUACGUGCCAGCAGCCACGGUAAUCUGAGGCGGGCUGGCAAGGC
rnacentral:rRNA from 1 species